rnacentral:rRNA from 1 species
GAUGAACGCUAGCGGCAGGCUUAACACAUGCAAGUCGAGGGGUAUAGUUCUUCGGAACUAGAGACCGGCGCACGGGUGCGUAACGCGUAUGCAAUCUACCUUUUGCAGAGGGAUAGUCCAGAGAAAUUUGGAUUAAUACCUCAUAGUAUGUGAGAAUAGCAUCAUUUUCACAUUAAAGUCACAACGGCAAAAGAUGAGCAUGCGUCCCAUUAGCUUGUUGGUAAGGUAACGGCUUACCAAGGCAACGAUGGGUAGGGGUCCUGAGAGGGAGAUCCCCCACACUGGUACUGAGACACGGACCAGACUCCUACGGGAGGCAGCAGUGAGGAAUAUCGGACAAUGGGCGCAAGCCUGAUCCAGCCAUGCCGCGUGCAGGAUGACGGUCCUAUGGAUUGUAAACUGCUUUUGUACAGGAAGAAACACUGGUUCGUGAACCAGCUUGACGGUACUGUAAGAAUAAGGAUCGGCUAACUCCGUGCCAGCCGCCGCGGUAAGAC